rnacentral:lncRNA from 1 species
AGUGGGAUGUGAAUGGCAGCGAUGCAUCCUUUGUGAGCUGAGGCUUUUAAGAAGCUGGUGAGGCUUCCUAUGCUUUCUUUCUGCUUCUGCUGGCUAGAAACAAAGGACACUGAGGCCCUCGGGGGAUGGUAGAGCCACAGGAAGCACCCCGGGUCCUUAAAUCAACAUGCGGAGGAAAGCCAACGGCCAGCCAUGGAUACUUGCAUUGGACUUUUAAGUGAAUGAGAGGUAAAUUUCUAUUAUGUGAAGAUAUUGCAAAUACUGGGUUUAUUUGUUAUAAUAGCUAGUGUUAUUCUAACUAAUAAAGCCAUCGUAUAAAAGGGGUGUACUAGUUUGAAGUGCUUCACAAACCCAGGUUGCAAAUGUCGUAUUCAUUGAUGUAUUCAUCUGUUCGCUUUCAAAAAUAAAUAUUUAUUAAGCACAUUCUGUAGGCCCUGCUCUAAGUGCUGGAGAUACAGUGAAGUGCAAGACAGAUGAAAGCCCUGCUCAUAUAAGGCAUUUACAAAUAUAAGGAUGAUGAAAAUAACCUCCUUCCCCUCUUCCCACACUGGUGAUAUUUCAUCUCCAUCAAAUACUUGCUUCUAAACCAUGCUCUUUCCUGCCUCCAUGCUGUUGGAGAAGUGUUCUCUUCCUGUGAACUCCUUCUCUUUAUAGACCCAGCUCUCCCGUGGGCAGCCCCUGAGGAGAGGAACUCCUCAGGCCAAGGCAGCAACUCCCUUCUACCUGUCUUCCUGCCCUGACAACAGCAUGAGCUGUGUUGUAGUCUGUUUGCUUUUUUAUGCACUGAUUUCCCUCUGCAGUCUGUGACCUCCUUCUCAUCCACCUUUGUAUUUUAGACUAUUGCACAAUGCUGGGCAUACAGCAGGUGCUCGCUGAAUAUUUGUAGAGUUAAUCUGAAUAUAAAACCACCAGAAAUGACUAUUUGGUUUUGUCAGGAACCUGCAAAAUGCAUUGUGUGCGUGUAUUAUUUUUAUUUUUUUGAGACAGAAUCUCCCUCUUUUGUCCAGGUUGGAGUUCAGUGGCUUGAUCUUGGCUCACUGCAACCUCUGCCUCCCGGGCUCAAGCGAUUCUCAUGCCUCAACCUCCCAAGUAGCUGAGAUUAUAGGCAUGUACCACCAUGCCUGGCUAAUUUUUGUAGUUUUGGUAGAAAUGGGGUGUCACCAUGUUGGCCAGGCUGGUCUUGGACUCCUGACCUUAGGUGAUCUGCCUG